UACCUGGUUGAUCCUGCCAGUAGUCAUAUGCUUGUCUCAAAGAUUAAGCCAUGCAAGUCUAAGUACGAGCUCUCGCACAGUGAAACUGCGAAUGGCUCAUUAAAUCAGUUAUGGUUCAUUUG
rnacentral:ncRNA from 1 species